CAAAGUUAACAGCGAUUACAAGGUUUGUUUAAUUUCUUUAAAGUGUUUUAUGCACCGUCGUACAUAGCCACUAUUUAGCUCAUAAAUAGACCGACUACGAACAAACCAUGUUUAGCCCAGAAUAACCUUGAAUUUAAUAAAAUUUUGUUUUUGCCAAAAUAACUUGCAAGAUGUAUGAUAUUUCAUCAGGCAUGCAAAGACACCAGUGAAUUCAAGAUGUUUGGUUUUAUUUAUCUUAUCUGAAUAUCUGCUGUCACGCAUAACAUUCAUUAUUUGACCGUAUUUCAAAGAUAAACAAAAUCCAGUUACAACUCCGAACCGCUAGAUGGCAGCAGUACACAAACACGAGGCCAAAUCUCACGAGAAAGAUUUCCGCUGUUUGAAAAUCAACAACAUCAGCGAGCAGCCAGGAGGAAAGCAAUCUUCCACACUCGUUUGGUCUUGUGUCAAAGCUGUGCGAAACUGGAGGGAGAAACUUGAGAGACCGUGCCGGAAGAAUGCUGGACAGAGUUCACUAAAAUUCAUUAAUUUCAAAGUUCAACAUGAAUGGUGGUGGUCCACUGCAGAAGCAAGCAUUUGAUAAAACAUCAGUUCUCUGUUAUUAAAGAUGCUGUGUUGAACAACUUUCCAGCAGCAACAGAACUGGAAGUGAAGGAUGCAAUGGGAGCAUUUCAAACAGGCACCAGGGAGGACGUGGUGUAUAGAAAUUAGUCCAAUUAAUAAGUUGAAGUGAACUGAAGAUAGUUUGUUAAUGAUUAGAUGUUAUUUCAUUUUUAAAAUUGUAUUUUGUUA